rnacentral:rRNA from 1 species
AGCGAACAUUGGCGGUAGGCUUAACACAUGCAAGUCGAGCGAGGCGUAAUAGUCGAGCGGCGAACGGGUGCGUAAUACAUGGGAAUCUACCUCGAAGUGGGGGAUAACGUCCAGAAAUGGACGCUAAUACCGCAUAAUCCAUAUUGGGAAAGCGUUGCAGCGCUUUGAGAUGAGCCCAUGGCUGAUUAGCGUGUUGGUGAGGUAACGGCGCACCAAGGCGACGAUCAGUAUCUGGUCUGAGAGGAUGACCAGCCACAUUGGAACUGAGACACGGUCCAGACUCCUACGGGAGGCAGCAGUGGGGAAUCUUGCGCAAUGGGGGCAACCCUGACGCAGCCAUACCGCGUGAGUGAUGAAGGUCUUCGGAUUGUAAAGCUCUUUCGGCGGGGACGACGAUGACGGUACCCGCAAAAGAAGUCACGGCUAACUUCGUGCCAGCCGCCGCAGUAA